GACGAACGCUGGCGGCGUGCUUAACACAUGCAAGUCGAACGGAAAGGCCCUGCUUUUGUGGGGCGCUCGAGUGGCGAACGGGUGAGUAACACGUGAGUAACCUGCCCUUGACUUUGGGAUAACUUCAGGAAACUGGGGCUCAUACCGGAUAGGAGCUCCUGCUGCAUGGUGGGGGUUGGAAAGUUUCGGCGGUUGGGGAUGGACUCGCGGCUUAUCAGCUUGUUGGUGGGGUAGUGGCUUACCAAGGCUUUGACGGGUAGCCGGCCUGAGAGGGUGACCGGCCACAUUGGGACUGAGAUACGGCCCAGACUCCUACGGGAGGCAGCAGUGGGGAAUAUUGCACAAUGGGCGGAAGCCUGAUGCAGCAACGCCGCGUGCGGGAUGACGGCCUUCGGGUUGUAAACCGCUUUCGCCUGUGACGAAGCGUGAGUGACGGUAAUGGGUAAAGAAGCACCGGCUAACUACGUG
rnacentral:rRNA from 1 species